rnacentral:rRNA from 1 species
UACGUAGGGUGCAAGCGUUGUCCGGAAUCACUGGGCGUAAAGGGCGCGUAGGCGGCCAUUCAAGUCAGAGGUGAAAGCCCAAGGCUCAACCUUGGAAUUGCCUUUGAUACUGUUUGGCUUGAGACCGGAAGAGGUUAGUGGAACUGCGAGUGUAGAGGUGAAAUUCGUAGAUAUUCGCAAGAACACCAGUGGCGAAGGCGGCUAACUGGUCCGGUUCUGACGCUGAGGCGCGAAAAGCGUGGGGGAGCAAACAGGG